rnacentral:rRNA from 1 species
UACGUAGGGUGCAAGCGUUAAUCGGAAUUACUGGGCGUAAAGCGUGCGCAGGCGGUUUUGUAAGUCUGUCGUGAAAUCCCCGGGCUCAACCCGGGAAUUGCGAUGGAGACUGCAAGGCUAGAAUCUGGCAGAGGGGGGUAGAAUUCCACGUGUAGCAGUGAAAUGCGUAGAGAUGUGGAGGAACACCGAUGGCGAAGGCAGCCCCCUGGGUCAAGAUUGACGCUCAUGCACGAAAGCGUGGGGAGCAAACAGG